rnacentral:lncRNA from 1 species
UUUUUUAGGGUAACUUGGAGCAAGCUCUAAAUAUUAAAGGUAUUUUGACGACUUAUGAGGAGGGAACUGGCCAACUAUUAAGUUCGGAUAAAUGCUCCAUCUUAUUUGGCAAAAAAUGCACUAUGGAAGACCAGGUGUCUAUCCUGGUUAUCCUUAAAAUCACGAUUGAUGGUUUUGAGGAUAAAAAUCUAGGCUUGCCUAUACCAGAAGGUCAUAUGAAGACGAGUAAGUUUCAAUCCGGCAAAGAUAAAGCGCUCAAGCGGGUUUCAGAUUAUAUUGAAAAAUAUGCUUCGAGCGAGGCGAAAGAAAUCCGGAUCAAGUCUGUUAUUCAGGCUAUUCCUGUGUUUGCAAUGGGUAUUUUUAAAUUCCCUGCUUCAUUAUGUGAGGAGUUAUCCUAGAUUAUCAGGAAUUUUUGGUGCGGCGGUGAAGAGAGUAGGAAAAGAACACAUUGACUAGCAUGGGAUAAGAUGACGAGACCAAAAAGUGAAAGGGGUAUGGGCUUUCGCGAUCUUCAGCUUUUUAAUCAAGCGCUUCUGGCGAAACAAGCUUGGCGUCUAUUAGUUUUCCCGGACUCUUUGUGUGCAAAGGUGAUGAAAGCUAAAUAUUAUCCUCAUGGGCACCUUAUUGAUAUGGUAUUCCCUCAAGUUACAUCCCUUACUUGGCAAGGAAUUAUGCAUGACCUCGAAUUGCUUUAAAAUGGCAUUAUUUGGAGAGUGGUCAAUGGGACUAGUAUAAAUAUUUGGAGGGAUAAUUGGAUCCCUAGGGAAUCUGGUCUUCAAAUUUGCGAAAAAAAGAACAGGACUAGAAUCAAAUGGGUGUCCGAGUUAUUUUUGAGUGGAUCUAGGAGUUGGGAUGAGAACCUGAUAAGGCAUCUAUUUUGUAUUCAUGAUGCGGAGGAGAUCCCAAAGUUGCGUACCCUUCAAGUGGGCGAGGGAGAUAUUAUUGCUUGGCACCAUGAGAAAAGUGGCUUGUUCUUGGUGAAGAGUGCGUAUAGACUGGCUCUGAAUAUUAAGGAACCGAGGAUUGAUUCUGGCAAUUCCAGUGACGCCAUAAACAGGGAUAGUAGGCUCUGGAAUAUUAUUUGGAAUGCUAAUGUCCCUUAGAAAAUUAGAAUUUUUGCCUGGAGGGCUGCUUCUAAUAGUUUGGCAGUUCAACUCAAUAGGGUUAAACAUCAUCAAGCUACUCUAGGUACAUGCUUCAUAUGUGGUAUUGACGAUGAGGGUAUUUAUCACGCAUUGGUGGUUUAUCCCAAGGCUCGUGCGUUUCGUAUGGCAUUGAAGGAAGUGUGGAAAUUACCGGCGGAGGAGACCUUCAAAUAUUCUGGACCGGACUGGUUCCUUACUUUAUUGGACCAGUUAACUUCGCAUGUAUGCGAGCAAACUAUAUUCAUGUUCUGGAGAGCUUGUCACUUGAGGAAUGAUUUGAUCUCUGGUAGGGGAAUGGAAUCCAUCUCAGCCUCGGUGAGUUUUGUCAAAAAUUAUUGGGCAUCUUUCUCGUCUUGUCACGCUAAAAUGUAGGUGAAGAUAUGCAGUAAAGGGAAGCAAGUGGAGCUGGAACUUCAGCCAACCAAUAUCAUUGAGAGGAAGGUUGUUCCUUGGAGGCCGCCCACCCCAGACUUCUACAAGAUUAAUGUUGACGCUAGUUUUGUGGAGGCCAUUGAAGUUGCGAGCGUGGGGGUGGUUGUAAGAAAUCACUGUGGACAAGUGAUUCUUUCCUUCUGGGAUUAUAUUGGUGCUUGCUAUAGCGUCGAGGAAGCGGAACUUAGAACGUCCCUGUCCGGCCUAUAUAUUGGUAUGACACUAGACAUACCCGUCAUUUUGAAAACUGAUUGUUCCUUUGUGGCCUCCGUUUUUGAAAGAGAUUCUAUGGACAUAUCAUUCAUUGUUGAUCUAAAAAAGGAAGCCGUGGAUGUCUCAAAGUUGUUGGUGAAUUUAUAGAUUUCUAAGAUCAAUUGGAGAGCUAAUAUGGUGGCCCAUGAGAUUGCAAAGUUUAGUUUUGAUAAUAGAUCCGAUGGUUUUCUUUUUCAUUCCGUUCCAUCCUGUGUGUCAAAGUUUGUUAUGAAUGAUUGUACAAACAUUUUAAGUUAAUUAAUAUAUGAUGGCAAAGUUAAGUCGGCCCGCUACCUCUACAUUUACCUUUGGAUUAGUUUUAGACCUAAAUAACUGUUAUUUGGUGUCAGCGUUGAGCAUGAACAUUAUAUCUGGAUCUUGUUUGAUGCGAGACGGUUAUUCAUUUAAAUCUGAGAAUAAUGGUUGUUCUAUUUAUAUGAGUAAUAUCUUUUAUGGUCAUGCACCCUUGAAGAGUGGUCUAUUUUUGUUGAAUCUCGAUAGUAGUGAUACACAUAUUCAUAAUAUUGAAGCCAAAAGAUGCAGAGUUGAUAAUGAUAGUGCAACUUAUUUGUGGCACUGCUGUUUAGGUCAUAUUGGUGUAAAGCGCAUGAAGAAACUCCAUUCUGAUGGACUUUUGGAAUCGCUUGAUUAUGGAUCACUUGGUACUUGCGAACCAUGCCUCAUGGGCAAGAUGACUAAAACGCCGUUCUCCGGAACAAUGGAGCGAGCAACAGAUUUGUUGGAAAUCAUACAUAUUGAUGUAUGUGGUCCGAUGAAUAUAGAGGCUCGCGGCGGGUAUCAUUAUUUUCCCACCUUCACAGAUGAUUUGAGCAGAUAUGGGUAUAUCUACUUGAUGAAACAUAAGUCUGAAAUAUUUGAAAAGUUCAAAGAAUUUCAGAGUGAGGUGGAAAAUCAUCGUAACAAGAACAUAAAGUUUCUACGAUCUGAUCGUGGAGGAGAAUAUUUGAGUUAUGAGUUUGGUCUUCAUUUGAAACAAUGCGGAACAGUUUCGCAACUCACGCCACCCGAAACACCACAGCGUAAUGGUGUGUUCGAACGUCGUAAUCGUACUUUACUAGAUAUGGUGCGAUCUAUGAUGUCUCUUACUGAUUUACCGCUAUCGUUUUGGGGUUAUGCUUUAGAGACGGCUGCAUUCACGUUAAAUAGGGCACCAUCUAAAUCCGUUGAGAUGAUGCCUUAUGAACUGUGGUUUGGCAACAAACCAAAGUUGUCGUUUCUUAAAGUUUGGGGCUGCGAUGCUUAUGUCAAAAAGCUUCAACCUGAUAAGCUCGAACCCAAAUCGGAGAAAUGUGUCUUCAUAGGAUACCCAAAGGAGACUGUUGGGUACACCUUCUAUCAUAGAUCCGAAGGCAAGACAUUCAUUGUUAAGAAUGGAUCCUUUCUAGAGAAGGAGUUUCUCUCGAAAGAAGUGAGUGGGAAGAAAGUAGAACUUGAUGAGGUAAUUGUACAUGCUCCCUUAUUGGAAAGCAGUUAUCAUAGAAAUCUGUUCUUGUGACUCCUACACCAAUUAGUGAGGAAGCUAAUGAUGAUGAUCAUGUAACUUCAGAUCAAGUUACUACCAAACCUCGUAGGUUAACCAGAGUAAGAUCCGCACCAGAGUGGUACGGUAAUCUUGUUCUGGAGGUCAUGUUACUUGACCAUGACGAACCUACGAACUAUGAGGAAGAGAUGAUGAGCCCAGAUUCCGCAAAAUGGCUUGAGGCCAUGAAAUCUGAGAUGGGGUCCAUGUAUGAGAACAAAGUGUGGACUUUGGUUGACUUGCCCGAUGAUCGGCAAGCCAUCGAGAAUAAAUGGAUCCUCAAGAAGAAGACUGACGCUGACGGUAAUGUUACUGUCUACAAAGCUCAACUUGUUGCGAAAGGUUUUUGACAAGUUCAAGGAGUUGACUAUGACGAGACAUUCUCACCCGUAGCGAUGCUUAAGUCCGUCCGAAUCAUGUUAGCAAUUGUUGCAUUUUAUGAUUAUGAAAUUUGGCAAAUGGAUGUAAAGACUGCAUUCCUAAAUGGAUUUCUGGAAGAGGAGUUGUACAUGAUGCAACUUGAAGGUUUUAUCGAUCCAAAGGAUGCUAACAAAGUGUGUAAGCUCCAGCGAUCCAUCUAUGGACUGGUGCAAGCAUCUCGGAGUUGGAAUAAACGUUUUGAUAGUGUGAUCAAAGCAUAUGGUUUUAUACAGACUUUUGGAGAAGUUUGUAUUUACAAGAAAGUGAGUGGGAGCUCUAUAGCAUUUCUAAUAUUAUGUGUGGAUGACAUAUUGUUGAUUGGAAAUGAUAUAGAAUUUCUGGAUAGCAUAAAAGGAUAUUUGAAUAAGAGUUUUUCAAUGAGAGACCUCGGUGAAGCUGCUUAUAUAUUGGGCAUCAAGAUCUAUAGAGAUAGAUCAAGACGCUUAAUUGGACUUUCACAAAGCACAUACCUUGAUAAAGUUUUGAAGAAGUUCAAAAUGGAUCAAGCAAAGAAAGGGUUCUUGCCUGUGUUACAAGGUGUGAAGUUGAGUCGGACUCAAUGCCUGACCACUGCAGAAGAUAGAGAGAAAAUGAAAGGUGUUACCUAUGCUUCAGCCAUAGGCUCUAUCAUGUAUGCAAUGCUGUGUACCAGACCUGAUGUGUGCCUUGCUAUUAGUUUAGCAGGGAGGUACCAAAGUAAUCCAGGAGUGAAUCACUGGACAACGGUCAAGAACAUCCUGAAAUACCUGAAAAUGACUAAGGAUAUGUUUCUCGUUUAUGGAGGUGACAAAGAGCUUGUCGUAAAUGGUUAUGUCGAUGCAAGCUUUGAUGUUGAUCCGGAUGACUCUAAGUCACAAACUGGAUACGUGUUUAUAUUGAACGGUGGAGCUGUCAGGUGAUGCAGUUCUAAGCAAAGCGUCGUGGCGGGAUCUAUGUGUAAAGCGGAGUACAUAGCUGCUUCGGAAGCAGCAAAUGAAGGAGUCUGGAUGAAGGAGUUAAUAUCCGAUCUAGGUGUCAUACCUAGUGCAUCGGGUCCAAUGAAAAUCUUUUGUGACAAUACUGGUGCAAUUGCCUUGGCAAAGGAAUCCGGAUUUCACAAGAGAACCAAGCACAUCAAGAGACGCUUCAAUUCCAUCCGCGAUCAAGUCAAGGAGGGAGACAUAGAGAUUUGCAAGAUACAUACAGAUCUGAAUGUUGCAGACCCAUUGACUAAGCCUCUCUCAUGAGCAAAACAUGAUUAGCAGCAAGACUCCAUGGGUGUUAGAAUCAUUACUGUGUAAUCUAGAUUAUUGACUCUAGUGCAAGUGGGAGACUGAAGGAAAUAUGCCCUAGAGGCAAUAAUAAAGUUGUUAUUUAUAUUUCCUUAUAUCAUGAUAAAUGUUUAUUAUUCAUGCUAGAAUUGUAUUAACCGGAAACUUAGUACAUGUGUGAAUAAAUAGACAAACAAAGUGUCACUAGUAUGCCUCUACUUGACUAGCUCAUUGAAUCAAAGAUGAUUAAGUUUCCUAACCAUAGACAUGAGUUGUCAUUUGAUUAAUGGGAUCACAUCAUUAGAGAAUGAUGUGAUUGACUUGACCCAUUCCAUUAGCUUAGCAUUUGAUCGUUUAGUAUAUUGCUAUUGCUUUCUUCAUGACUUAUACAUGUUCCUAUGACUAUGAGAUUAUGCAACUCCCGAAUACCGGAGGAACACUUUGUGUGCUACCAAACGUCACAACGUAACUGGGUGAUUAUAAAGGUGCUCUACAGGUGUCUCCGAUGGUACUUAUUGAGUUGGCAUAGAUCAAGAUUAGGAUUUGUCACUCUGAUUGUCGGAGAGGUAUCUCUGGGCCCUCUCCGUAAUGCACAUCACUAUAAGCCUGGCAAGCAAUGCAACUAAUGAGUUAGUUGCGAGAUGAUGUAUUACAGAACGAGUAAAGAGACUUGCCGAUAACGAGAUUGAACUAGGUAUUGAGAUACCGACGAUCGAAUCUCGGGCAAGUAACAUACCGAUGACAAAGGGAACAGCGUAUGUUGUUAUGCGGUUUGACAGAUAAAGAUCUUCGUAGAAUAUGUAGGAACCAAUAUGAGCACCCAGGUUCGCUAUUGUUUAUUGACCGGAGAUGAGUCUCGAUCAUGUCUACAUAGUUCUCGAACCCGUAGGGUCCGCACGCUUAACGUUCGGUGACGAUCGGUAUUAUGAGUUUAUGUGUUUUGAUGUACCGAAGGUAGUUCAGAGUCCCUGAUGUGAUCACGGACACGAUGAGGAGUCUCGAAAUGGUCGAGACAUAAAGAUUGAUAUAUUGGACGGCUACAUUCGAACACCGAAGGGUUUUGGGUGACCUCGGAGAAAAACCGGAGUGCCGGAGGGGUUACCGGAACCCCCCGAGGACUAAUGGGCCUUAAUGGGCCCUAGUGGAUAGAGAGAGGGGCCGGCCAGGGCAGGCCGCGCGCCCUCUCCCCUUGAGUCCGAAUAGGACAAGGAAGGGGGGCGGCGCCCCCCUUGCCUUUCCCCUCUCCCACUCCUUCCUUCCCCCUCCUAGUGGAACUAGGAAAGGGGAGUCCUACUCCCACUAGGAGGAGGACUCCUCCUUUUGGCGCGCCCUCCUAGGGCCAGGCGGCCUCCUCCCUUGCUCCUUUAUAUACGGGGGCAGGGGGCACCCCAUUACACACAAGUUGAUCGUUGAUCUUUUAGCCGUGUGUGGUGCCCCCCUCCACCAUAAUCCACCUCGGUCAUAUCGUAGCGAUGCUUAGGCGAAGCCCUGCGUCGGUAGCUUCAUCAACACCAUCAUCACAUUGUCGUGCUAACAGAACUCUCCCUCGAAGAUCUACUGGAUCGUGAGUUCGUGGGAUGUCACCGAGCUGAACUUGUGCAGAUCGCGGAGGUGUCGUACGUUCAGUAUUAGGAUCGAUCGUUCAUGAAGACGUACGACUACAUCAACCGCGUUGUCAUAACGCUUCCGCUUACGAACUACUAGGGUACGUGGACGACACUCUCCCCUCUCGUUGCUAUGCAUCACCAUGAUCUUGCGUGUGCGUAGGAUUUUUUUGAAAUUAUUGCAUUCCCCAACAGCUUAAUAUGUGGUAUUGACGAUGAGGGUAUUUAUCACGCGUUGGUGGUUUGUCCCAAGGCUCGUGCAUUCCGUAUGUCAUUGAAGGAAGUGUGGAAAUUACAGGUGGAGGAGACCUUCAAAUAUUCUGGACCGGACUGGUUCCUUAUUUUAUUGGACCAGUUAACUUCGCAUGUACGCGAGCAAACUAUAUUCAUGUUGUCGAGAGCUUGUCACUUGAGGAAUGAUUUGAUCUCUGGUAGGGAAAUGGAAUUCAUCUCAGCCUCAGUGAGUUUUGUCAAAAAUUAUUGGGCAUCUUUCUCAUCUUGUCAUGCUAAAAUGCAGGUGGAGAUAUGCAGUAAAGGGAAGCAAGUGGAGCUGGAACUUCAGCCAACCAAUAUCAUUGAGAGGAAGGUUGUUCCUUGAAGGCCACCCACCCCAGACUUCUACAAGAUUAAUGUCGAUGCUAGUUUUAUGGAGGCCAUUGAAGCUGCAAGCGUGGGGGUAGUUGUAAGAAAUCACUGUGGACAAGUGAUUCUUUCCUCCUGGGAUUAUAUUGGUGUUUGCUAUAGCGUUGAGGAAGCGGAACUUAGAGCAUCCCUGCCCGGCCUAUAUAUUGGUAUGACACUAGAAUGCCCGUCAUUUUGAAAAUUGGUUGUUUCUUUGUGGCCUCCGUUUUUAAAAAAGAUUCUAUGGACAAAUCAUCCCUUGUUGAUCUAAAGAAAGAAGCCGUAGAUGUCUCAAAGUUGUUGGUGAAUUUAUAGAUUUUUAAGAUCAACAGAAGUGCUAAUUUGGUGGUCCAUGAGAUUGCAAAGUUUAGUUUUAAUAAUAGAUUCGAUGGUUUUCUUUUUCAUUCCGUUCCGCCCUGCGUGGCAAAGUUUGUUAUAAAUGACUGUACAAACAUUUUAAGUUAAUUAAUAUAUGAUUGGUUUUUUGAAAGAAAAAAAUGGUUGGGCCUAUUUGUGCGUGACGUGUUCACCCCACAUCUGUCAAAACGACACAACCCAGAGUGAGGUACAUUUUUGUUGAGCAAAACCAGCGUGAGGUAGCCGUAUGAAUGAUCUUCAGCAGUGUUCAAAAAUAAAUAAAAAUGAAUGAUCUUGAGCAAGGGCCCACUUAUCUUUUCUUUUAGAAAGUGACUAAUCAAUUGGUGCGCUUUUCCACACGUCAGUGACACCAAUUGGCAGAUGGCCACCCUCAAAAAAAAAAUUGGCAGAUGGCCUCUGCGUGCUUCUAGCCAGCCGGGCAUAAACUUGGAAGAGAUUUUCAAUUGGGUGCUCACUAGUCACUACGAUGAAACACAGAGAAAAUGAACUUUACUCCCGGCUUGCCUGCCUUGUUCGUAGGCACUAGCAAAACUGGCCAUGCUUGUUUGCCAAAUGAAUUUCAGUAGGGGAGUACAGUACGCAUUUUUGUCAUACAUUCUCUAAUGAAAAGAGUUAUUAGAGCAACUCCAACGGGCCGACCCAAACGAACAUCGAUUUCAUCCGUUUUUUGUUCAUUUGGGUCGGUCAGAUGGACACAGAUGCCCGCUUCCGCAUUUGGGUCGGCACCUGCGUCCAACGCUGGCCUGCGACCCAUUUAGACGGCGCCAAAAAAAUAAACGCAUGCAUAUUUAAAAAAAAGAGAAACUGCAUUAAUUAAACAUUAAAGCCGGCCACGAAGGCCGGCGAGAGUCCACGCUUCCACAUUUGCAUUAAAAAAAUAAAAACAGCCUAAACUACGAGGUGGCGCGCUGUCCUAGGCGUCGUCGUCGUCGUCCUCGGGGUCCGUGAGGUCGAUGAGCGUCGGCGCCGGCCCGGCCUAGGCGAACGCCGUUUUCCAGAGCGCUGCCAUGUCGGGCUGUGCCGGCGCAGGCAGUGCCGGAGCGGGGGCUGUGCGGCCGCCUGUGCAGCCGCGGCCCAGCGCGCCUCCUCCUCGGUCUCGCGCGCCUCCUCCUCGAGGUCGCGCUCGAGUAUCUCCUCGUACUCGCCUUGCCGGCGCUCCUCUGCCAGCUGGCGUUGGCGCCACAUCUCGAGGUAGGCCUGCUCCUGCGCCGGCGUCGCCCCCAGCCAGACCGGUGGCGCGGACACCCACUCGCGCACCACUCCAUUCCAGGAGAAGCGCGCGAUGGGCUCGGGCUCCGGCUCCGGCUCCGGCUCCGGCUUGAUGGGGGACGGCGGGGCCACCGGCGGCACCACAAUGUCACCCGCCGCGGAGAGGGCAAGGGCCUGCGCCAUUGCCGCCUCGUAGCAGGCCUCCUCUUCCGCCUCCGCUUUGCGCCGUUCGUCCUCUUCGCUCUCACGGUAGACGGCCGCAAGGGCCGCCUGGUAGGCGUCCUCCGCCGCCUGGUCCUCCUCGCGGACGACCAGCGGUGUUGGCCUCCGAUCGACCUCGUGCACGCCCCGGCGCCUCGCCUCCUCGUGCUCGAAGGUGAACCACCUCGCCCAGUGGGCCGAGUCAGUUGCGUAGGCGGAGUCGCGGCGCUGCUCCGCCGUCAGCAGCGCCCGCCAGCGCCGCACGUCCUCCGCGUGAGCACGAGCCGACCGCGGCGCCGCCAGCACUGGGAUCCUAUCUGGAUCCAGAUGCCAGUCGUGCGGCAGCGUCACGUCAGGAUAUGGCAGCGGCUGGCGGUUCUGCCAGUGCCACUCCGCCUGAUGCACUGGCACGUUGACGCGCUGCCUCUGCCGUCGAGGCGCCGACGGAGGUGGGAGAAUUUCGGAGGUGAAAGGGGUGGCGGGGAACUUGCCCUUGGCCUUGCUGCCGCUGGCGCCGGAGAAGAGGCCCGUCGUCACUGUGGUUGCGGUGGCUAGGGUUUGCCGGCGACGAGGGAGCAAGGGUGGGCAGAUGGGGACGGCGAGUUUGGAUGAGAACGGCCCCGCCGCACGGGCGGCUUAAAAAAGAACGAGCGUCGUCGCUGACGCGUGGGCCCGUCGUUAUAAAUUAAGCUGACCGCGUGGGCAGCGGGUAGUUGGACGGCCGCCAUGUGGGGACGCGGCGGACAGCAAGAAGGCGCGCGAAGCGUCCGUUCGGCGUCCGCGCCGACGCAUUUGGGGCGCAAAUUUGGGCCGCAAAUGCGUCGGCGCGGAAGCGACGCGGAUAUGAUUUGGGUUUGGGUCGGCGCGUUGGGCCGCCACUUUUGUCCACACCGAUCCAACGGACGCAGGCGAACAAAAUGGGUCGGCCCUUUGGAGUUGCUCUCACUCCUGCAUCUAUUCACUUUACAUAUGGACUCCCUCCGUUUCAAGAUACUAUAAGUCUUUGAACUACCGCACAUACAGAUGUAUACAGACAUAUUUUAAAGCCUACUAGAUUCAUUCAUUUUACUUUGUAUGUAGUCAUCUGUUAAAAUCUCUAGAAAAACCUAUAUUUAGAAACCGAAGGAAUACGUCGCAUGCAUAUGGAUGAUAAUUCCGCAAUUCCCAUGAACCAAAUAGAGGCAAAACAUUUCAUUUCAUUUGAUCUCCAGACAAGACGCCCCUGGACGUCUCGAGGUGAGGGAUUCACCGCUCGUCUUGUCCGCUAGCUUUUGCCGGCCACGCGUCUUUGCCCGGAUCAGAACGCCUGCAGGCUUGCAGGCAGCUGCCGCCCGCGGCAGCAUAGCACGGCACAAUGCACAACAGCUCAGCGCUACACGUUUUUUCCAUCGAAUCGCGCGUGCGUGUGUGUCGUCUCGGUCGCCGUCGCGAGCCAGUCCAACGUACUCUACCACACCACAGUUUUCUUUGAGAGGCAUGUGAAUGCGACCGGUUUUCCAGGCCGCCAAAUGCACAGGCCCGGGCAGGAAAACCUGCCCCGGUGGUUGGCCGGCGGAGCUGUAAUAAAACGCUGACACGCCGGGCCAUCCGUUGCCGACCAUCGGCUCCAGUACUACCCACCUACGAGUCCUUGGGCACGCAGCGAGUUUGAAAGCCCGGAAUCGGCGAUGGGAUGGCGCCCGCCCAAAAAGUCUCUGCCCGGGGGCCCAGAGCCUGCAUGCAUUUGCAUUUGCAUUUGCAGAUGGGAAUGCCACCGCCGGCCGACCUCUCUUCCUCCUCCCCAACCAACAGCUGCACGCAAGUAAAUGCCGGCAUCAAUGGCUCCCCAGUUACUACGGCACACCAAUCACCCCCACCCCUACAUGCCGAGCAGAGAGCAAACUAUUAUGCGGUGAAAAGGUUACAGUUGAGACGAUAAUGUGCGAAGAGAGAGGGGUGGCAACUGGCAACGGCAGAGCCGCGCGGCGUACGUGACGUGAGGGCAUUCAUUCCGGCACCGGCUCACGGCGGGCGGGGGGACGAGGAGGGCGGACAGCAGAGAAAACAUCCAUCCAGUGGCUUAAUUAAAUGAGAUCAUGAUGAAAGGAGAUGAUGGCUUGUAAGGGUACGGCGAGACGGGAUUAAGCGGGCACCCGAACAUGGCCGUAUGCGGCGUGUCGCAAGCUGGCGUACACAGUUUAAGAGCGUCUACAAUCAGACUUGGCAAAUCUAGCCCCUCAAACGUCCGCGUUCAGGUUGUCCACGAGCACUGACCAGACAUCUUUCAAAUGUCUGCGGACGCGUUCGGGUAUGUUCAUGGGCACCGGCGUACACAGUCUAAUGUAAGCGUGUAGCGCUGGCCGGGCGAACCAAACAAAUGUGCUUUGUCCGCUUUCUAUCCGUUUAGAUUGAUAAAGAGACAUUUUAUUUGAGUCGGUAGGUGCAUCUAACAGGAGGCAUAUGUAUUUUAGCCCACGUGACCGAAAUAAAGUUAAAAAAAUAUAAUUAAACAUAACUGGCCGGUCAACCACUGGCCAAAGUCCUCUUAAACAUAAAACACUGCCCGUAAGCUGCCUUAGUCGUCCGUCCUGCCCUUGCUCUUGCCGUCUUCGUCAGUAUGAGGUCGAUAAAGACGGGAGGCAACCCAGCCCAACCGAACACGGUUUGAUAGGCCGCCAGGGCUGCCUCCUCCGGUCUUAGGCGUCAGGGGGGUGAACGGCGGCACCACGUAGUCGCCGGCUGCAAAGAGGGCGAGGGCCUCCGCCAACCUUGCCUGGUAGUCCGCCUCCUCCGCCUCUGCCUUGAGCCACUCGUCCUCGAUGGAGGUCUUCACGGCCGUCGCCAGCGCCGCCUGGUAGGCAGCCCCCUCCUCCUUCGGCUUGACGACUAAGGGGAGGCGGGGGGUUUGUGUGGUCGUGAUGCACGUCGAGGCCAUGUUGCUCCUUGUUCUCGAGGGCAAACCCGACCUCCCAAUGGGAAGAGUCUGGCGCGUACUCCGGCAUCAGUCGCUGCUUCGGCGUGAGCAACGACCGGCACUUACGCAUCUCCUCGGCGUGCGUCCACUGCGGAUCGAGAUGCCAAUCGCGCGGCAACAUCAUGUCCGGGUACGACAACUACUACCUGAACUUCCAUUGCCAUCGUGCUUGGUGCAUAGAAAUUUGCAGUCGCUGCCUCACGAGGCAAGCACGCGUUAGCGACGACGAAGGAGGAAGAGCGCGGGAGGACGAAGCGUCGGGGGCAAACUUCCCCUUGCUUUUGCCGAAGCCGUUGAAGAAACCCAUUGCUAGAGUUUGGUUGUCACCGGCGAAGAAGCACGCGUGGAUUAUCUCAUGACGCUUUCAUUGGCUGGUGCAUGGGCCAAGGGUCGAUGACCGCUAUUAAUAUGACUGCGUUCGGUCGUCAGCCGACCGACAUGUGGAGCUGUGGCGAACACCGAGGAGACGCGCCAAUGCAUUUCAGUUUAAAUUUGAGCCUGAAAUGGGUCGACGCGGACAUGAAACGGAUGCGUUUUUGGUUUGAAUCGACAUGUUGGACCGGUGUUUUGAUCCGCGAUGAUUUAAAUGAAUAUGGGUGGACGAAAUUAGUCGUCCGGUUGGAGUUGCUCUUGCAGCAGCUGGCUCAUACAGGAACGGGGCGACGCGUCCGGUAGCACACAGCCGCUGCGUGCCGCCCCCGUGCUCGCCGCCAAAACAGUGCCAACGCGCUGCAAGCUUUGGGCGUGUCACGAACUCACGAUAGACAGAUUCUCCUUCCCGGCCAGCAGCAUUGUUUCCUUGCUAGCGCGCGUCCUCUCUCUCGCUAGCUAGCUGGUUCCCACCGCCGCCCGCUGCUGCCGCCGGGCGGUGAUAAAUCCGUGUGUACUCGCCCGGAAGCAGGGCUAGCUCACGAGCUUAUCUAGUGCCUCCGUGAUGGAUCGGGGUCGGAGGCGGCAAUGGGGCGUCGUAUGCUCGGCGCUGCUCCUGUCGGCGCUGCUGGCGGUCGCCUCCGCGCAGUCGCCGUCCCCGGCGCGGGCACCCAAGCCAGCACCGUCUCUUCCCGCGGCGCUGCGGGCGGCUCCACGGCCGUCGUCUCCUGCCGUGCCGGCGCCCAAGGCCCCUGCCGCGUCGCCGGCGCCGAAGCAGACACCUAGCCCUUCGGCCUCGCCGGUGCCGAAGCCGCCGACUCCGCGCGCGCCAGCGCAGGCGCCAAAGCCAUCGUCUCCAGCUGCACCCUCGGCAUCACUGGUUCCAAAGCCGCCCGCUCCACGUGCGCCGGCGCAGGCCCCAAAGCCGCCGUCACCACCUUCGGCGUCCCCACCACCACCAGCGCCACCGCUUCCAAAGCCGUCACCUCCACCCCCGGCGCCGUCAGCACCGAAGCCGUCACCUGUGGCCCCAGCGCCGGCUCAGAAGCCGUCUCCUCCUACGACCACUCCACCACCACAGAAACCAUCUGCUCCUCCGUCUCCGACGAACUCAUCCCCGCCGACGCCUUCAUUGGCUCUGUCGCCCAACUUCUACGCCGCCUCCUGCCCGAGCGUGGAGCUGGCAGUGAACGAUGUCGUCAGGUCGGCCUCCACCUUGGACCCCAGCAUCCCCGGCAAGCUUCUCAGGAUGGUCUUCCACGACUGCUUCGUAGAGGUAUGGAUUCGAAAUAAUAAUAUAUUGUUACUCGUCUUGCAUUUGGGAGAUGUGUUCUACUAGCACUGCAACCAUGCAUUGGAGCUCACUACAUGCAAACAAAUGGUGACAAAUGUGUGUAUUCUCCUCAUAGAUUCUUAUUUUGAUUUAAUUUCACAUGUCCAUGUUCUAGAUCUAGGCCUCAAUCAAUCAAAUUAUCUUCCGGAAAAUCAUCUUGUUGUGAUGUCAUUGGAGCAUUGCCUCGUCAGUUCUUACUAUCUUGAGCAACUGUGAUAUUUGCCAUGACCAUGAUCCUUCACCUCUCUUUAGUAAGAGAAUUUGCUUUCCCCCUUUCCAUAUAGUGACCAAGGCCAAAUGGUUAUGCCAGACCAGUUGAGGCCUUUAGUUAGUAAUAACACAUAAUGUAUGUUCAAAACAUUCGUUCAUUGGAAUGGUCUAGGCUACUUUUGCUAAUUUGAGCUGGUUAGGUGCAUUAUUCAGACCCAAAACUUGAGCUAUCAUACAUGUUUAAAGGUCGCCAAUACAUCACCAGAUUUGACAUCUUGCAUAUGUGUAACGGACAGCAUUUUACACACAUGUUUCUGAAAUCUUACACGACAGAUGCACCAUGAGUUUCAACUUUCUAACCCUUUACCAUCUCAGGGAUGCGACGCGUCGGUGCUGAUCCAGGGCAGCGGCACGGAGAGGACCGACCCGGCGAACCUCUCGCUCGGCGGGUUCAACGUCAUCGACGAGGCCAAGAGGCUGCUCGAAGCCGUGUGCCCGGCGACCGUUUCUUGCAGCGACAUCAUAGUUCUCGCCGCGAGAGAUGCCGUCACUUUUGUAAGUAGCAUUGCAACCACCCAAACCCCAUUGCACCCAUUAACUUUGCUGCAACAUAUGCUUUCCCUUCCUACAGUUCUCACAUACUAUGAUUUUCCUAUUUGGUUUGGCCCUCUGAUCAGUAGUACUUGGUGGUGAGCAUAGGACAUCAUAAACUCCGCACUGAAUGCCGCACGGAUUAGAUCGUGUAGCGUACGGUGGAUCGAGUGGUCCUGGUUCCGUAUGCGGCAAUGGCUAGCUGAAACAUAGGAUCAGCGGGUCUGGCUAAUGAAUACAUACAGAUACGACGGGGAGAGGGGCCCUGGACAGCUUAGUGAACAUAAUCCCAGCUUAUGACUGGGACCUGACCAUUUGACAUUUGUGCAUAUGAUCAGUAUGGCACAUGAUUGAUGGUCCCAAUUUAGGGUGAACGUGGCGAAGUGCAAAUGUACAUAGGUGGAAUUCUGAAACUUCAGAGCAGUUUGUGCUCUGAAGAUUUACCCUGCAUGACUGCAUUUGCUAAUUUCAGGCCAAUCGAGUUGCGGUAACAUCCACAUUCACCUAUAGCCUCACUUUGGUACAUAGUAAAUUACCAUUUCUACAUGCGCAUGUUCACUUGAUCAGUAUAGCACAUGGCAGAUGGUCCCAGUUAACGGCGAUCAUGGCAAAGUGGAAAUGGACAUAAAUGGAAUUCUGAAACUUCAGAACAUACGUACUCUGAAAAUUUACUCUGCAUUUGCUAGCAUCCACCAUUCACCCAUCCCUUCACUUUGACACAUAGUAGAUGGGCAACUGAAUUAACCACAUGUUUUGUUCUGGUGCUUUUGCAAGACUAAUCUAAGUUCUUGGGUAAAACAAUAGCUCAACUUGAAAUUAUCUGGAGAAGCCUUAGCUGACAUACAAACAAGACAACUGAACUGAUGCUCAAUUUUGUGUUGUUCCAAACCAGACCGGAGGACCGUCGGUGCCCGUCUCCCUCGGCCGACGUGACAGCCUCGUCUCCCUCGCGUCCAACGUGAGAGCAAACAUCAUCGACACCGGCUUCUCCGUGGACGCGAUGGCGGCGAGCUUCGCCUCCAAGGGGCUCUCCCUGGACGACCUCGUCACCCUCUCAGGUACACAAUACAAACUCUCCCCAGUAAACAUCACUUUCCUACCUAGACUGGUGAUAUCAUUGGCAGCUUCGUUGAUCUGACGGCGUGCCUCCGGCAUAUGGUGCAGGCGGGCACACGAUCGGGUCGGCCCACUGUGGCACGUUCCGGGAGCGGUUUCGUCCGGACGCGAACGGGAGCAUGGUGCCGGUGGACGGCACGAUGAACGCCGAGUACGCGACGGAGCUGAUGCGGGCGUGCGCGGCGUCGGGGAGCGCCGCGGUGGGCUGCGACGACGGCUCGGCGGCGGCGUUCGACAACCGCUACUUCAGCAACCUGCUGGACGGGCGCGGGCUGCUGCGCACCGACGCGGUGCUGGUGCAGAACGCCACGACGCGGGCCAGGGUGGCGGCCUUCGCGCAGAGCCAGGACAGCUUCUUCAGCAGCUGGGCCGGCUCGUUCGCCCGGCUCACCAGCCUCGGCGUCAAGACCGGCUCCGCCGGCGAGGUCCGGCGGCUCUGCUCCAGCGUCAACGGCUGAUCGGUCGACCUCGGCAUGGGCAUGGGCAUGUGCAUGGACAUGAGCAUGUAAUGAUGUAACACAGAAUACAUAGGGGGAUCGAACGUGUUGAGUAGCGAGAGCUGAGGAUGAGGUUGAUUCGUUUUGUAGCUGAUGAUGGUCGGGCCUUCUUUGCUUAGGCUGCAUGUAAUAGAUGACGGCACGCGUUUUAUCUGCGACCACAAAUAUCAAAACGAGCACGAUGAUGAAUUAAUACUUGGUUUUUGAAGCACGAUUUGUUACCAAACUCCGUGCGGAAAUUCAUCGUUUGGCAGUGCAGUACCCGUGUGAGGGAUACAGGAUUGAAUGCAGCAGCGUGCCAACAGUACCCUACCCACGGACUGACAGGCCACGCUCUGAGCUUUCAAAGCCGUCGACGGGACAUGUCCUGCCUGAUAUGUCGUCGAUGGGCCCCUUACGGCAUGGACAUUGUACAUAAUUGAGCACAGUUUGGGCUCUGUGCUUGAGUAGUAGUAGGGCUUGCUACAGUAACGAUGCCGCUACGUGGGCCGCCGGUAGAGACGUCACGGACCGGAGCGGCCAGAAAGUGAGUAGAAGAAGAGGAAGGAUCCAGCAGCGGCGGCCGAGAUCGAUUGGGCCCUUGCCUGCCUUUGUUUCGGAAAGAAAGGUUAGUGCAGCUGGGCUGCAACCAUCGGCUAAAAAAACAGCUUUAUAUCUAAAAAAAGGCUAAAAAAACACGAAAAGAAGGAAACAAAUUCGACGUGCUAGGCACCCGCGGCCCAGCUCCAGUCUUUCAACCAGACCAUGGAAAAAAAACAACAUAUCACCAUCCUAGAGCUAUUCGUGCAAUCUAGAAUGAAAGCAGAAACAACAAGCGACCAACAACACGAACACGUUACAACAACUAUUUGCUUUCCACCCCCACAAGCAAGAAACAACCCUUCUCACAUCACGCUUUGGUGUUCUUGCACUUGCAGCUCCCAGAAGAUCUUGGCUCAUUAUAUUUGCACUGCAUGCUGCAACACUUGUGGUGUCCCAAUCGUAGGAUUCUCGAAUCUCCUGUUAAGACAUGCCCAGUAGUUAAGCAAAUAACACACAUGAAGGCAUGCUUAGAUUGUUGCCCGCCCCACUCUCUCGGGGCGGAUUGUGCGAAUCCUAGCCACCACCACCCCAAUCCUUCCCAUCUCUAUUCCUCCCAUCGACGUCGCUGUAUGAUCUCGUCGGCCUAAGUCCAGGCGACCGGCGGUAGCGGCAGAGCUUUCCCCUCGUGCUGCGGCACAUGUCCCCGAUGGAGGGUCGCAUCCCAUCGCAGGGUCGAGCAACAACGGCAUUCUUGUGUCGUUUCCCUACUUGGGGUGUUGUCCUGAAAACUUGCCUCACUCCACGCCUUCCUGGAGUUGAACGUGCGCGGCGCUACGAUUGGCAAGUGUUCGACCGGUGGUGCAAAGCUGUCGGGAUUCGAAUUGUGGGGCAAUGAUGAUGGUGGCAUGAGGAGUUGGCUCGCCACGACUUCUUCGACGCCCGCCUGUCAUGUCCCUCUGUUUGUCAUUGUGUCUUCUUUCUGUACAACAGUGAAAACGGAGUUGCAUGUCAAGAGGUUGCUCGCUAGCAACAAUGCCCUCUGAAAGGUAGGUUCGAUGUUUAGCAGUCUUUGGUGAUCGCAACAGGCAAUGUCAAGGCAAGAUGUGCUUGUUUCUCAUGCGAGGCUCGUCACCGAAGUUGUAGAUGCCUAGUCCUCCACGCCCCUGGGAGGCCGAUUAUUUAGCAUAGCCGACAGGGGUCUCAUGCAUCCUUCGCGGUAAAGGCUCUUGGUUGGUCAUCUGUGAUAUAGUUUGAGUUGCUUGCAUGGUGGGAGGUGUUGAACAUGACCUUUGCUGGAACAGCCUUGCUAAAUCUCAGUCGAGUAAGACUUGAUUCGCUAUACCCGUAAGAUUUUACAUUGAGAUCAGUGCAAAAAUUCUUCUUAAACUUCUUCUUUUUCUUUCUUACAUGUUAUGUCACUUGACUGAGAUUUGGUUAAAUCCCAGUCGACUGAGACGUAGCCACACCCCCUUGCUGGAAACCUCGACAAAGUUCUUCUCCUCAGUGAUGUGUGGGGAUCUUUGCGGUCUGGAGUGUCCGGUUUUGGUGGGCAUGAUGUGCUGAUUUUUGCCCCGACUCUCGGCCAAUUAACGAGGCAAUUUUCAACUUAAUUAACUAAUAAGACCCUAAAGGCUUUGGUUAGAAAAAAUAGGGCAUGCAUGGUUUGGUAUAAAAACUUGGCCAACAAAUGUGUUCACAAGCAAAAAAAUGAUGCUAACGCUAAGAUUUAUCUAAAAUUUGGCAAGUUUAUGUAACGUUGGCAACAAAAGUUGACAACCCAUCAAUUGCUAGCCAAUAGGCUAGCAUCAAGCCAAACAUCAUGGAAUGCCGCUUGUAGUGGGGAUUUGGUGACAUUCCAUCAACAGUUGCUUGAGGCGCAUUUAGGUUGCCUUAACAUACUCGAGGGAAUUGCACAAACCACCAACUUUGGGUGCUGAUUUUGCACGAAACAUCUACUCCACGGAUUUUGCUGCACGGAACACCACACAUAGGUGUAAUUCAUUGUAGUUAGGUCUAAUCUACGGUUUAGAUAUGUUGAUGUGAUUUCUGAUGGAUGGGCCCCACUUUUAAGUGCACCCGUGAAAAAACAGCCACAACAACGUUUCAACUAUAACUCUCAAUAUCUCGCAAACGUUUGGUCCAACUAAGCUUAAAUAUUUCCAGAUUAGUAGUGGGUGCACAUAUGCUUUACUAAAGAAAAUCCAAACUUUUCAUAAAUGUAAAAUUUUGAAUGAAAAAAUUGAAUGAGCUAACUAAAAUUGUUGAUAUCUCCCGGACAUCUAGUCGAAAUGAAAUAUUCCUAGAUUAAUGCUGGCUAAAUAAAUGGUUUACUAGAUUUUUGAGCCUUUUUUUUAAUGUCAAAUUCUGAACAACUAAAAAUUCUAAUAUCUACCCAGCAGUUGGUCUAAAUAAGUUGCGUUUUCUAGAAUGGUACUGGAUACAUGUGUGAUUUACUGAAAUUUUCUUGUAUUUUCCUGAAAAUAUGGAAUUUCAAGUCAAAAAAAUGAACGGGCCAAUCAAAACUAUGAUCGGAGGUGCGUUAGUUUUACCUCCUGGCUGAUGUGGCCGAUUUUGUUUGCCAUGUGCGCAUUUGCAAGCGGGGCCAACUCGUAAAAAACCACAUCAACGUACUUAAAUGCCAAAUUAGCCCCAGUUGCAAUUUACGAUUUUCCGUGCAACAAACCGUAAAGUAGUAUGUGCUUUGGUGUAACCGUGUAAACCCAACACCAAUGGUUGGUGGUUUAUGCGAUUUCCUCCCCAAAACAUACUCCCUCCGUUCUUAAAUUUUUUGUCUUUCUAGAGAUUUCAAAUGGUCAUCACAUACGGAUAUAAGUAUAUAGACAUAUUUUAGAGCGUAGAUUCACUCAUUUUGUUUCAUAUGUAGUCAUCAUUUAAAACCUUUAGAAAAACAACUAUUUAGAAAUGGAGGAAGUAUAUAGCAUGAAAACCACCCCCUCGGAUAGAAUUGAAGCAGCGCCAAAGCAAAGCCCCGCCGAAUCAAACAGUUGCAUACUGUAGCAUGUUGAGCAAGAAAAAACGCGUAGCAUACGAGAAGCCGGUGCGUGAUAAUGGAGAUUCGGAUUCCACGUCCACUCAUCACGGACUCGUGGAGCGAAACUUGCAGGCAACUUCCGGGCUAGCAGACGCCGCCCGCCUUGUUCCUGGCCACUUGCCUCCGGUCUGUGCCAUCGGCGGUGCGUGCGAGCCAAGCACUCGAUCCCCGGCUCAGCCACGCAACCCCUGAUUCCCGGUCCAACGUACGUGGAGAAGACGAGACCGGAGUUCAGCUCGGUGCAUCUAUCUAUCCACACUACACGCGUCCGGCCGGGACGGCUUUCUGGAGGCUGGACAGGGGAGACUCCACGUUUCUUGGCAACGAAGGGGUGGCUGCGGCCCAGAAGGAAUUUCGCGUCGGAGCAUGUCUCGGCGUCGGUCAAUGCGUUCUGGAAUUUGAUGCGCUUGCAAGGAGGUUGUGGAAUCUCUCUCGCUCUUUCUCUCUGCGGUUGGGAGGACGGCGAACAUAUUCCGCGGCCAUCUUGUGGACGCAGCAUAUCAUGGCGGCCGGCCAAGUAAAGCAUCGGCGAACUCCUGGUGGGAUCACAUCAUCAUCACAAUGCAAAUUCUCGGUGAAAACAGCGACAGCACGUACCAGAGGCAAAACAUCAGCCGCGUACGUUUCUGCAAAUGAAAACGAGAGGAGAUGAAAGAGAGAAAUUUCUUUGGCUGGUGAAGAAGAAACUGUCGCAUAUGCCAUGGGAGAUGCCUCCCUCCCCCGUGCGGUGCUCAAUAAUACUACUACAAGACGGCCGGCCUUUUUUGUUCGCUUUUUUAAAGCGAAAAGGGAGCCGGCGAGAAACAAGGCGGCUUGGUUGUAAAAAGUUGCUUUGCUUUGGACGAUGAGAGUCGGCGCAAAGGAAACGGCGCAUAUCGGCAAGCCUAAAUACAGUCGUCAUCACGUGAUAAAACGAUCGGUACCCGACAAUCGUUCGGGGAGCCGUCGCCCUCGCGCAUAUCUUGGCGACGGGUCACGCCAUCAUCCAUCAAUCUUUGCAUUCCAAAAGAUUAGAUACGCAACAACUUGGAUUGCUCUUUCACUUUUUACGCCCAAGAUUACAUACGACCGAACCUCCGUUGUCAAAAGAACGAAACGAAAAACGUUACUACUACACCCAAUAACUCACGAGGCCGGCACUGACACCUUGAAUGAAUUAUUGGAGUGGUUGCACGAAUCAGAAAUGCAGAAGAUAGGAUCAGAAACAAGGAAGAUAAGGAUGAAGAAUCAAAUAGUUCUCUUCAAUCGAAGAAAAGAAUCAAUUCGUGCUUGUAUUCCUCGCGCAGUAGUUUAUUCCUGCGCGUACGAGAUGAUCAGAAGAUAGGCCAGGGGAAAUGAGCACACUGGUCGCUUGUCAACACACUGCAACUUGGCACAGAGUAACACUAAUUAUAACAAAAUGACACUCGUUAUAGGAAAAAUAAUGCUUAUUUAUAAGUUCGAGACAGCUUUUCCCCAGAAGUACGCUCAUUGUGGCAGACGCAGCAAACCACCUAGAGCUAAUAGUUUAUUCAGAGAGCAAUAGCCUGGCCGGCUGCUUCACAGUAACCAAACGACAAACUGACAGUCAGAACAAAUUCCACAGAUGGAAUAGCGACAGCAAAUCAUGUCUUCACUCGCACAGCACCGCGCCCUCUUCCAGAGAAUCCUCCUCCGCCCGCCAUGCGAGGAGGUUGGCGAGCUUGCCUUCCUUGACCAGAGGGUGGCUGUGCACACUCUCGGCCUCGAAGCAGUGGAAGACGGACCUGGGCGACCCGGCAGAGACAGCAACCUCUUCGUUCACGGUAAAGCUCUGGUAGAU